CUUGGCUGAAUCUCCCACUCUCCUCGGCGAUCUGAUGAUGCAGUCUGCUCAGGCAUUCGGGAUCAUGACAGCAAGAGAUGGAAGGAAAGGAACUGUACACCAGUGACAAAGCCUGACAGGACAUGGACAUGAAGAUUUCUCACCACAGUGGGGACAGACAAGUUGAGUCUCACUCUACAUUGUAUCUUCAGCAGAGGACCAACAAGAACUGACUGUUAUAGAGCAGAGCCAUUUUCCCCACAAAUACAGAAGGAACAGAAACCCCACCCACUUUGCCCAAAGAAGUGCAAGGUUCUCUCUUUUCUUUUCUUUUUUCCACCUCGAGAAUGACGCAUGUCAAAGCACCAGCUUUCUAUCACACUUUCUUCUUCCAAAUGCAGGCACGAGUGCUAAUCAGAGACUAUAAACAAUCAUUGUCAGCUCUCACUAUUUAAGCAGGAAGCUCUCUUAGCCCAGCAGUUCCCAAUUUGUGGUAUGUGUACCACCAGUGGUACGCAUUAAGAGAUGUAUUAUAAUUACUUUAUAUGACAAAAAUUUGCUGGUGGUACUUAAGGCUGCAUCAUUUUAAAUUGGUGGUGCAGAGUCUGUCAGAGUUUGGGAACUGCUGCCUUAGUCUACAUCAGAAGUUGGUUCCACCACUAGAACACGCGAUACCAAGAGCCUGCUCCAUCAUAGCACAUCCUCAGUGCCCCGAAGCACAAAGGCCAAUUCUUCUGUGGAGUUAGAGCAAUAUGUUAAAAAUAAAAAAGGAACACCAUUAGCACGUGCUCCACCAAUAAAAACUCAGCUUUUCUCAA